CCUACGGGUGGCAGCAGUGGGGAAUAUUGCGCAAUGUGGGAAACCCUGAUGCAGCGACGCCGCGUGAGUGAAGAAGUAAUUCGUUAUGUAAAGCUCUAUCAGCAGGGAAGAAAAUGACGGUACCUGAGUAAGAAGCCCCGGCGACCGACGUGCCAGCAGCCGCGGUAAUACGGAGGGGGCAAGCGUUAUCCGGAUUUACUGGGUGUCACGGGAGCGUAGACGGCCGUGCAAGUCUGGAGUGAAAGGCGGGGGCUCACCCCCCGGACUGCUCGGGAGACUGUACGUGUGUAGUGCAGGAGAGGUAAGUGGAAUUCCUAGUGUAGCGGUGAAAUGCGUCGAUAUUAGGAGGACCACCAGUGGCGAAGGCGGCUUACUGGACUGUACCUGACGUUGAGGCUCGAAAGCGUGGGGAGCAAACAGGAUUAGAUACCCUUGUAGUC
rnacentral:rRNA from 1 species